UAUCAAGCAUCCCUUCAACGAAAAGUUCCUUUAUUCAGUCGUAUAAAAAAUAUUUCAGCAUAAACCAUAGGCCCUAUUUAUUGACUUCUUGAAGUAUACAUUACCACCUACUUCUUUACAUAUAUUGUGCACUUCUUUUAUUAGAGCAAGCAUGAAUCAAUUUGCAGAAAGGCUCAGAGAAGACGAGAAACCUUUGACUCUGGCAAGCAGCGGUCAAGCGGAUCUGAUAUUCCGUAUUCGGCGACAAGAAAAACAUGUCAACAUCAAAAGGCAGGAAUUCCGAGAACAAAUUGGCGGGCAAGGCAUCGUGAAUUCAUAUCUGCAAUACGGAAUGCACGGAAAGCUGUCGUAGCUGUGCGUACAGGACAACCUUUACCACCACCCCCUCCGCCAGCAGACAAUCCAGAUGGUGGAUACAGUUAUUAUUGGGUUCUUGGCUUGAUAAUUCAGGGCCUUAUCCAG